rnacentral:misc_RNA from 1 species
GGAAGUAAAAGUCGUAACAAUUUUUCCGUAGGUGAACCUGCGGAAGGAUCAUUCAUAAUAAAGUGUUUUAUGGCACUUUUUAAAAAUCCAUAUCCACCUUGUGUGCAAUGUUAGAUCUCGUCAAUCUUGGCGAGAUUUUUAUACAUCAACUCAUUCUUUAACUAAUUUGUCUGAAAAAUAUUAUGAAUACUUAAUUCAAAAUACAACUUUCAACAACGGAUCUCUUGGCUCUC